GGUCCCGUAGUUUAAUAGUUAGAACGUUAGGGUCAAAUCUUAAAUUAUUCUUAUCGUUUAAAUAUAUUUUAUAAUAUACUUAUUAAUAUUAUUAGUAGCCUAUAGACUAUCCCUAAAGGUCGUAGGUUCGAACCUUGCUAGGAUUA